GUAAUAUUUGUUACAGAGGAAAUGACCUGUAGCAGAAUGGAUUAUUGGACAUCAUUGUUAAUGGAUUUAUGGAGAACAUACAUUAAUCGAGGUACAAUACAUUGAAUAAAAUAAUUCUAUUCUAACCAGGUGGAAUGACUGGUAGCAGUAUGGAUUAAUGGACUUAUAGUUAAUGGAUAUAUGGAGAACAUAAAUUAAUCAAGGUAACACUACAUUGAAUAAAAUAAUUCUAAACCAGGUGGAAUGUCUGGUAGCAGUAUGGAUUAAUGGACUUAUGGUUAAUGGAUUUAUGGAGAACAUAAAUUAACCAAGAAUGUGUGGAUUUCUACAAAAAUCUUAAGGAUCAACACAAACUUCUAAUUCAGCCUGUCAAAUCUGAAUAAGAAAACUUCAUCUAAAGACUGUGUGGAUAGAACUCAAGCUAAAGGAACCUGGUAAAUCUUCUAAAACUAGAAUCUCUUGAAACCUUCAAGGAUAUCAGAAGUUCAACUGAACAUCAAAGGAGUCUGAGGAUUACUGAAUACAAAGAGAACUGAGCGGGUUUAAGCUAAUAAACCUCCCAGCUCAGAGAAUACCUGGAUAAAAGAGCGGGUUUUCAAGCUAAGAAAACCUCCUAGCUGAUGGAAGGAGAGAGCGGGUCUUAAACCUUAAUAAGACGUCCUAGCUCAACUCUUCACCCAGCUAAAUAUUAAAAGAAGUUGAGUGGUUUACUACACCUGGAGACAUUACUGCACAAGCUCUGGGGAAAAAGCAGAGCAACUACAGGUUACCUGAGAACAUUAGAAUUUCAAGAUCAGCUGUUUAAAGUUGAAAUAAAACCUGCUCUAAUCUUGUUUCUAUACAGGGUAACGUAACCAGACAAGAUUACCUCUUACAUAAAAAUAUCUGUAUUUAAGAAAAUAAAACUUUCCUAUUUA